CCUAAGAGAUACGUGUUAUGUGCAGUGCUCACACAGAUUGUCUGAUGAAGAACGAGCAAAAGCGCGUCUGCGAAGCUGACAGAAGUCCCCUUCGUCUAGAGGCCUAGGACACCGCCCUUUCACGGCGGUAACAGGGGUUCGAAUCCCCUAGGGGACGCCAAUGCGCGGUAUGAGUGAAAGGCGUACCACUUAUCUGACGAGAGUCAGAGAAUAACUAAGCUAAUUCAAAUGAGUUAUCUUACUUAUUAUGCUCUUUAACAAUCUGGAACAAGCUGAAAAAUUGAAAACAAAUCAAUAUAUCAACGAGGUAUAUUGAUGAGUCUCUCAAAAUCUCAAACCUUAAAGUUUGUCACGCAAAGUUUAUCUUUGAAAGAGACACUUUCGGGUUGUGA
rnacentral:misc_RNA from 1 species